GAGUGAACGCUGGCGGUAGGCCUACCACAUGCAAGUCGAACGGCAGCACAGUAAGAGCUUGCUCUUACGGGUGGCGAGUGGCGGACGGGUGAGGAAUACAUCGGAAUCUACUUUUUCGUGGGGGAUAACGUAGGGAAACUUACGCUAAUACCGCAUACGACCUACGGGUGAAAGCAGGGGAUCUUCGGACCUUGCGCGAUUGAAUGAGCCGAUGUCGGAUUAGCUAGUUGGCGGGGUAAAGGCCCACCAAGGCGACGAUCCGUAGCUGGUCUGAGAGGAUGAUCAGCCACAAUGGAACUGAGACACGGUCCAGACUCCUACGGGAGGCAGCAGUGGGGAAUAUUGGACAAUGGGCGCAAGCCUGAUCCAGCCAUACCGCGUGGGUGAAGAAGGCCUUCGGGUUGUAAAGCCCUUUUGUUGGGAAAGAAAAGCAGCAGGUUAAUACCCCGCUGUUCUGACGGUACCCAAAGAAUAAGCACCGGCUAACUUCGUG
rnacentral:rRNA from 1 species